CCCGCACAAGAUCACCUGAGCAAGGUGGUAGUGCUCGAAAUCAUGAUCAUCCUCGCUCAUCUGCAAGCAGCCAUCAGCCACGAAAUGAGGAAAACAUCUGAAGAUCCAUGUUUGUCGCUCUUUGGGGAUUUAUUUGUUGUGAAGAUUUAGAACUUAAUCAUCUCAAUAGAGACAUUUUGACCUUUUGAUUAAGUAGUAGCUCUUUGUUUUAAUCAUGGAGGAUUUGUGAUAUGUGCUUACUUUGGUUAGUUUGUGUGUAAAACUUGUAUAGAAUUAUCUCAAUCCUAUUGCUAUAAUAUUGUUCUUCGUUGUAAUAAAUUGUUCAUUAUAUUAAGGCUAAAGUUUGGUUA